UUUUGUUUAGGAUAAAUCUAAAAAAACUUGGUAGUAAAUGAAUGAAACUGCAAAAUUCUAUUUUCAAAAAGGAAGUAACAGAAAAUGGCACAUUACAAGUCCCAAGUGGUUGCUAUGAAUACAUUAACACUUGAAAUGGAAACAGGAAAGUGGAAGUAAGAAGCAGAACAACAUGCAACUGUGUAAAAAAUAUUUCUAGGGAUACAACAGAUAUAUAGGAUUCAUUUAGGAGUAGAAAAUGCUGUAUCAGAUACUACCAGAUACUUUACAAGCAGUAAAGCAAUAUUUUUAAAAAGUACUCCUGUUUAUAAACAAGACGCUUAACAGGCACAUCACAAACUAAAUGUAUUAUGCUCUAUAAUUAUUUCUCCGUUACAAAAAGGAAACCACUUUUAGUAAUGUCAAAGACCCUCGAAAAAUACAUUAAAUCAAUUUUAGAUUGCCCAAAUGAAUAUGGGCAAAACACUCCCCCCACAAAAAUAACUUUUUUUUUUGAGAUAGGGUCUCACUCUUGCUGCCCAAGGUAGAGUGCAGGGGCAUGAUCUGGGCUCACUGCAACCUCCAACUACUGGGCUCAAGCCAUCCUCCCACCUUGGCCUCCUGAAUAGUUGAGACUACAUGCGUGUACCACCACAACCAGCUAAUUUUUGUGUUUUUUGUAGAGAUGGGGUUUCACCAUGUUGCCCAGGCUGGUCUCGAACUCCUGAGCUCAAGCGAUCAGCCUGCCUUGGCCUCCCAAAAUGCUGGGAUUACAGUGGGAGGAUGGCUUGAGCCCAGGAGGUGGAGGCUGCGGUGAGCUAGAUCUCGCUGCUGCACCCCAGCUUGGGC
rnacentral:lncRNA from 1 species